rnacentral:rRNA from 1 species
GUCCACGCCGUAAACGAUGGAUACUAGCUGUUCGGAGCAAUCUGAGUGGCUAAGCGAAAGUGAUAAGUAUCCCACCUGGGGAGUACGUUCGCAAGAAUGAAACUCAAAGGAAUUGACGGGGGCCCCGCACAAGCGGUGGAGCAUGUGGUUUAAUUCGAUGAUACGCGAGGAACCUUACCAAGGCUUAAAUGUAGAUUGACCGAUUUGGAAACAGAUCUUUCGCAAGACAAUUUACAAGGUGCUGCAUGGUUGUCGU